UUAUAGCAGAUUCAUUAAUUUUGAAAUUACAUUACAACGUUGUCUACCAUCCCAUAAAUCCCACACCCUGUUCCAAUGAAAUUUCAUCACAUAAUCCUGAAGCUGGAAAAUCCAAGCUCAACCCUCCUCUGUUUCCUUUGGGAUUAUACCCUCGGGGCCUGAGAUAACAAUGGUACAGAAGGAUAGGGCUAGUUGCAGAGCGAGCAGAACAAAAGAGCUGGC